rnacentral:sRNA from 1 species
AAGGGUGGGGGCAAGGGAGGAGAAACUCGCCGGACAGAGACGGAGAUCCCUAAACCGCAGCC